CGUUAAACCGACCGCCUGGGGAGUACGGCCGCAAGGUUAAAACUCAAAUGAAUUGACGGGGGCCCGCACAAGCGGUGGAGCAUGUAGUUUAAUUCGAUGCAACGCGAAGAACCUUACCUACUCUUGACAUCCAGAGAACUUAGCAGAGAUGCUUUGGUGCCUUCGGGAACUCUGAGACAGGUGCUGCAUGGCUGUCGUCAGCUCGUGUUGUGAAAUGUUGGGUUAAGUCCCGCAACGAGCGCAACCCUUAUCCUUUGUUGCCAGCGAUUCGGUCGGGAACUCAAAGGAGACUGCCGGUGAUAAACCGGAGGAAGGUGGGGAUGACGUCAAGUCAUCAUGGCCCUUACGAGUAGGGCUACACACGUGCUACAAUGGCGUAUACAAAGAGAAGCGACCUCGCGAGAGCAAGCGGAACUCAUAAAGUACGUCGUAGUCCGGAUUGGAGUCUGCAACUCGACUCCAUGAAGUCGGAAUCGCUAGUAAUCGUAGACCAGAAUGCUACGGUGAAUACGUUCCCGGGCCUUGUACACACCGCCCGUCACACCAUGGGAGUGGGUUGCAAAAGAAGUAGGUAGCUUAACCUUCGGGAGGGCGCUUACCACUUUGUGAUUCAUGACUGGGGUG
rnacentral:rRNA from 1 species